rnacentral:misc_RNA from 1 species
UGGUUCUGGCAUCGAUGAAGAACGCAGCGAAAUGCGAUAAGUAAUGUGAAUUGCAGAAUUCAGUGAAUCAUCGAAUCUUUGAACGCACAUUGCGCCCGCCAGUAUUCUGGCGGGCAUGCCUGUUCGAGCGUCAUUUCAACCCUCAAGCCCUGCUUGGUGUUGGGGACCGGCCCCCGCCCUCCUCCCUCUCUAGAGGGGAGAGGCGAGCCGCCCCCGAAAUGAAUUGGCGGUCUCGUCGCUGCCUCCUCUGCGUAGUAACAUACCACCUCGCAUCAGGAGCGCGACGCGGCCACUGCCGUAAAACGCCCAAAACUUUUUAGAGUUGACCUCGAAUCAGGUAGGAAUACCCGCUGA